CCUACGGGAGGCUGCAGUCGAGAAUUUUUCUCAAUGGGGGAAACCCUGAAGGAGCGACGCCGCGUGGAGGAUGAAGGUCUUCGGAUUGUAAACUCCUGUCAUUGGUGAACUAGUAGCCGCAGAGGACGAGACGGCUAACUCUGUGCCAGCAGCAGCGGUAAUACAGAGGUCUCAAGCGUUGUUCGGAUUCAUUGGGCGUAAAGGGUGCGUAGGCGGCGGAGCAAGUCUGAUGUGAAAUCCCGGGGCUCAACCCCGGAACUGCAUUGGAUACUGCUUUGCUAGAGUACUGGAGAGGAGAUUGGAAUUUACGGUGUAGCAGUGAAAUGCGUAGAUAUCGUAAGGAAGACCAGUGGCGAAGGCGAAUCUCUGGACAGUACUGACGCUGAGGCACGAAGGCCAGGGGAGCAAACGGGAUUAGAUACCCGUGUAGUC
rnacentral:rRNA from 1 species